rnacentral:rRNA from 1 species
GACGAACCGUGCAAACGUUAUUCGGAAUCACUGGGCAUAAAGGGCGCGUAGGCGGCUUCAUAAGUCAGGGGUGAAAUCCGGCAGCUUAACUGUCGCAGUGCCUUUGAUACUGUGGAGCUCGAGGGAGGUGAGGGGUCGUGUGGAACUUCCGGUGGAGCGGUGAAAUGCGUUGAUAUCGGAAGGAACGCCGGUGGCGAAAGCGACGGACUGGAUCUCUUCUGACGCUGAGGCGCGAAAGCCAGGGGAGCAAACGGG